CGAGUGGCGGACGGGUGAGUAAUGUCUGGGAAACUGCCUGAUGAGGGGGAUAACUACUGGAAACGGUAGCUAAUACCGCAUAACGUCGCAAGACCAAAGAGGGGGACCCUCGGGCCUCUUGCCAUCGGAUGUGCCCAGAUGGGAUUAGCUUGUUGGUGGGGUAACGGCUCACCAAGGCGACGAUCCCUAGCUGGUCUGAGAGGAUGACCAGCCACACUGGAACUGAGACACGGUCCAGACUCCUACGGGAGGCAGCAUG
rnacentral:rRNA from 1 species